rnacentral:lncRNA from 1 species
GCUGGAUUAGAAUGUGGUAUCGGUAUGGAUGACUAAGACGACUGGAUGGAAGGAGACACCGUCUAGGCCUUUAAAACGUGGUUCAAAAGAGGAUUCGACCAGAUAAGAGUUAAAGCUAAAAAGACAAGAGCCUUGUUUAAGCUCGUUUCAGCAAAUCUUUUGCAGACGCCGUAAUCGACUUGAUGAGUUCUUCAUCGUCACCCUGCAACGCGGCCUCGAGCGUAACCCUAGCAUGGUCAAUGGCAACUUGAGCAUUCACAAGAUUCUGUAGUGUCAGAGCGGCUUCGUCCCUCGUGGAAAGCUCGUUUACUCCGAAUUCAAUGUCGACGACAUCACCACCGGCGGCUCCCGCGGCUCCAGGUACGGCUUGGACAUCAAUCAUGGCUACGCCUCCUCCAGCUGCGUUGUCGACGACGGCUACGCCUCCAGCACCGAUAAUGACUCCACCGCCUUCAACCUCAGGGUCUUCGUCGAGUUCUUGAACGAGAGCGUUCUACUCAGUGACCUCGUCGGCUUCUUCCGCAUGCUCCUCUUGAUUCGGCUCAGCAUCUGCAGCAGUAAAGAUCUGACAGUCAACCCCGAGUUGUCAGACUUCGACGCGUAGAGCGUUCAAGAACUCGACGAAGACCCAGAGGUUGAAGGCAGUGGAGCCAUUAUCGGUGCUGGAGGCGUAGCCGUCGUCGAGCAGCUGGAGGAGACGUAGCCAUGAUCGAUGUCCAAGCCGUACCUGGAGCCGCAGGAGCCGCCGGUGGUGAUGUCAUCGACAUUGAAUUCGGAGUAAACGGGCUUUCCACGAGGGACGAAGCCGCUCUGACACUACAGAAUCUUGUGAAUGCUCAAGUUGCCAUUGACCAUGUUAGGGUUACGCUCGAGGCCGCGUUGCAGGGUGAUGAUGAAGAACUCAUUAAGUCGAUUACGGCGUUUGCAAAAGAUUUGCUGAAAGAAGCUUAAAGAUAGAGAAAUCUUGCUUUCUCGGCAAGGUCUCGUUCAUCCAUGGUUGAUAGAAGAAGUCUCUCUCUGUACGUAGUAAUGGAUCUGUGUUAUUAUAUACUGGCGGUUAAGAAACUAUUGGUAUCUCUCCCGUGCUUCGCACGGAUCUGACGAGUCAGUGACUAACCAAACACGAGUAUAUCACGUGUUGUGGGUCUUAUGAAAGGGGUUUAUAUCUAACGAAAAAGUUAUUGAAGGAAUUAUUACUAAAAUUCUC